rnacentral:lncRNA from 1 species
UCGUCGUCGUCAGCGUCGCCGAAGACAGAUGUUUUCCGGAUAAUAACUUUUGUUUAAGUAAAUAGAAAUCAAUCAAAUUUUAACACAAGGUUUAUAACCACUAAAGAAAGGUUGGGAUUGAUUUUUGGGGGGGGGGGGGGUUAUGGUCUUAACUGUUUAGGAAUUAGGAGCCAAAAAGGGGGUCGAAAUAAACAUUUUUGUAGUUUCCAGUCAUUAAGUGUAUGAAUCUCUCUGAAAUUAUACCACAAGUUUCCAAACUACAAAAGGGAUGGUUAUGAUUUGCUCGGAGGGGUAGGUGGGGGAGGUGUUAUGGCUCAAACCGUUUAGGAAUUAGAGGCAAAAAAGAGGGAAAAACAAGGGUUUCUUGGUUAAUGGUC